GUCCCCAAGGCACUGAUAGUGCGCGGCAGACGCGCAACUGCAGAACGAAGCGCAGCAGGCUGUGUGGACAGCUUGGCGAGCUACUUUCCACCUUCGUGAAAUUGCUGGGGGAGGAUUCCAUAAUUACUCCUUCCUCCCCGCCCCUCCCCCGAGCUCCCACUUCCUCCACUGGGGGCACAAAGUUUGUUCCUGAGUGCGCAAAAGGCGAAGCGCGCAGGUGCCUGGAGACCCCGCCCUACCCAUGGUGAGGCAGUGGAACCUCCGCGGAUCUGCCACGUUGUAGGUGGUGGCUGCGCAAACAGAAAAGCAAGACUGAGCAACAGCUACAAGUCGGAUCUUUCCCCCAGAAUGACUAACUUCAGGCCUGCAUUCAUGAAAGUGCUAAAAAUUUGAAGACAGGACUUGGAUCACUUGAGGGAACAGAAUGCCCCAAAACAGAAGAGCAGCACCGGCUGCAGGCACAGUUCUGUCUCUCCGUCUUCUGUCUUUCUUCCCCUUUCUAUCUCUGUGACUAUCUCUCUUGUCUGCUGGAGAAGUGUAAUUGGGUUGUAGGGACGCCCCGCUCUGGGGAGCCCAGGAUUUAUGGAUGGCAAUUAAAGUUUUAUGAAUUGCA